rnacentral:rRNA from 1 species
AACGCUAGCUACAGGCUUAACACAUGCAAGUCGAGGGGAAACGAUAUUGGAAGCUUGCUUCCGAUAGGCGUCGACCGGCGCACGGGUGAGUAACGCGUAUCCAACCUGCCCGCCACUUGGGGAUAACCUUGCGAAAGUAAGACUAAUACCCAAUGACAUCCCACGAAGGCAUCCGAAUGGGAUUAAAGAUUUAUCGGUGAUGGAUGGGGAUGCGUCUGAUUAGCUUGUUGGCGGGGUAACGGCCCACCAAGGCAACGAUCAGUAGGGGUUCUGAGAGGAAGGUCCCCCACAUUGGAACUGAGACACGGUCCAAACUCCUACGGGAGGCAGCAGUGAGGAAUAUUGGUCAAUGGGCGAGAGCCUGAACCAGCCAAGUAGCGUGCAGGACGACGGCCCUAUGGGUUGUAAACUGCUUUUAUAAGGGAAUAAAGUGAGUCUCGUGAGACUUUUUGCAUGUACCUUAUGAAUAAGGACCGGCUAAUUCCGUGCCAGCAGCCGCGGUAAUACGGAAGGUCCGGGCGUUAUCCGGAUUUAUUGGGUUUAAAGGGAGCGUAGGCCGGAGAUUAAGCGUGUUGUGAAAUGUAGAGGCUCAACCUCUGCACUGCAGCGCGAACUGGUCUUCUUGAGUACGCACAACGUGGGCGGAAUUCGUGGUGUAGCGGUGAAAUGCUUAGAUAUCACGAAGAACUCCGAUUG